UGCCCUAAACCAGGACAAGGGAUCAGAGCAUGCUAUAGAAUAGGAAUUAUCAAAUUAUAGAUUUCAACUUUCCAGAGGCAAUCUCUGAGGUGUCAACAUAUUUUACAACCUUCUGGGGUCUUUAGAUGGCAGCACUGAAUAUUAACAAUCUGCUUGUCUAUUUUCCUUAUAGGCAACAAAUCUGCUUUCAUUUUCCUGAAACAGGGCUAAGACAAAAGCAAUUACAAGAGCUGCAUUACUUAAUUUUGAUGAGCUCUUCCAUCAGGCUGCACAGGACUUCAUGUGCUUGGGAGAUGUGAUUCCUGAAGGUAUAGGGCAGGAGGUUUCCUAACAAAGCAACAGCUACAUCUCACUACUUAGGUUAAACACCUGAGCACCACAAAUGCUAAAGAUGAUUUGGGGCAAGCCAGUGAUUCUGGAGGCUCUGUAGGAUUGUGUUGAAGCAAAUCUACUGAAAAGGAAUACACUGUGGCUGUCCUGGAUAAUUUUGAAAUUCAUAACACAAAGUUAGGAAUAGGAAAAAAAAAUUCUAGCAUUUUUAAGCCCAAAUGCUUAUACUUACUCUACAUAACCAGCAAUUGCCUUUUGAAACAACAUUUGGGUAAACCUGUAACUAUGAAUGGAAAUGUGCUGUUAAAGCAUGGUGAAAAAAGCACCAGAGACCUCAACCCCCCUCACAGCUGGUCGCUUUCACAUGUAGAACUUGUUAAAUACAACUCUAGCACUGCUCAUUGUCUCAUACUGAUGCCUUUGUUCCUUUUCUGUCUCAUAGUUCCACAGGUGGAUGCUGAGGGAGAAAAGGAAGAAUAAGCUGUUGGUUUUACAGCUCCUUGCAGUGAAAUUAAAUCAGUAAUAAGAAUCUGUUUCUGGAAACAGAUCAGAACUUUGGCUGCCACUUUCCCAAAGAACUCAACCAUUUCCAACCACUGGGAGAUAUGGCAGGGAAGACAGGGGCAAAGUGCAUGGCAAGUUCAGUUCUUGUUCGGUAACUGCCAAGUCGCUCCAAAUACAGCUCUUGAAAACUAAUCUGGAAGGAAUUUUCCUGUAAUAUCUUAGUGUCAUUUGGUUCUGCAGGAACAAACACAGAACAUAACAUGGAAAAAAUUAAAUGGAAGAUGGCAAAAGCAAUUAUCAAGAUGCAAUGAAGCCACCCUUCCUUCUCCCACUAGCACUGCUAUGCAUAAGCAGGUACUUCCUGUGCAUGGGGAUAGAGAGGACACCUAUCAGUAAGAUAUGUCACAAGGACUCCUAAACUUGUGACAGAAGAGAGAAAAUGGAAAAGGGGGGAAAUAAAAGGGAAGUGUAUCCUCCUUACACCCUCUUUGUUUUUCAUUGCCUACAAACAAGUCCCUUCCUCUCACAGCAGAGCAGUUCAGCUGUGCUACUCCAUUCCUUCUCAGCUUCCUUCUCCUUUAUACAGGAGUUUAUAAGCUACUUCUCUGCCUCACCAGUCUGAUUUACUUAAUCCAGCUAUGAAAAGCAGGUAAAUUCUAAGCUUUAUUCCUCCAGCUCUAUUCUAUUCCUUCUUCCAUGCAUGCUGAGUUUGGGGAGGAAGAUAAUGUGUGGGCAGCAUUGCACACAACUAUCCUGAAGGAACAUAUAUUUCUACACCUAAAUUUUUAUAUGGCAAGGGAAAUUCAUAUUAACUCCUUUCUCACUUCUUGCCUGAAUCCAAGAUUCAGUGCCUUUCAUGUCACAGAUAGAUGGGAAUAUUUAAUAAACAAAGUUCAAGCCUGUGAAAAUCAGACAAAGCAUGGCAUAAACAAAUAAAUGUGCCAUAGAUUUAGUCUCUCAUCUCUUAAUUUUCUGCAUUAACUUUUGCACCUUUAUCCUGAAGAAUAGUUUUGUUUUCAAGCUCCAAAGUCUCCCCAAACUUUGGUACCAAAACAUGAUGUAUGAAGAGUUCCUUGCUGCUAGUACCAUGUCUGUGUUCAUGCCUCCAUUUACUGCCUGUUUUACCAAUCUCCCUAUUUGUUCUCUCUUCAGUACAAAAAUAAAACCAAGGUGGGUCAGAACAACUCAUUCCAUAACCCCUUGAUAGAAUGCAAUUGCAUGUCCCCAUGACAUCUGAGGCUCUCAAACUUCAGCAUCUUUAAAUUUCCUUCUGUUACUGCUGGUUUUAGUGUGGUUUUUUUUUGGCUUCUGUUUUUUUAAUGAAAAAUUCAAUGAAACUAAAAGGCAGUUUCAUCAAGGUGUCAUGGGAUAAUAGAAAAAAUUCUUGCCCUAUUUUAAUUAGAACAUGAAUCCUACUGAGUUUAAUUAUCCUGUCUUAUUAUAAAUUUGACAAUAAGGACAACCUGCCAAAAAAAUAUACAUUUUUUGUUUGCUUUCCAGGAAAAGCUGUCAUGGUCUAUUUGCAUCUCAGAUUCACAUGACAAUGUACUCUGAUUUAAGCUUUAUUUCAUGAACUCAUUAAGAAAUUCAACAAGAAGCAAACCUGACGAACUGGGUGUCAACCCCCUUUGAUCCAGACUGGUCUAUCAUGUGAAUUCCCUGAUUCACCAUUCCAAUCUUGAGGUCAGCCACAGCCUGUGGAAGGGUGAGGCAACAGCUCAGGGUUUUCUGUGGCUAUAACAUUUACUAUAAUAGGACAACAUUUACUGGAAUAGAAUAUUCACAUUUACUAGAAUAGGACAAUAUUUAAUAGAAUAGUUGUAUUUCUCAUUUUAUUAGAGGGAGCAAAAAUUAUCUUCUUAUCUUUAAAUCCUACUACGGGGUAAUUUCCAUGUUAAAAUCUAUGAUUUAUGGUUUUUCCCCCCGCAGCACUCUAAUAAAAUUCUGUUUAUAAACAUAAUUAAAUGUCAUAGAUGUAGCUAAUUUAGAAAUACUAUAUAUGUAUGAACCUUUAUAACACUCUAUAUUGUAUCUUUAUUGAAAUGCCAUGAUUCAUAGCAGUAAUAAUUUACUUGCUUUUUUUUCAAUAUGUUGAUUAACAGAGCUAAAUUUGUAACUUCAUAAACAGCAGUGCAGUAAUGUGUAUGCUAGAAAUUAAAAAUAAUUGUUAUAGUAAUAUUUUUACCUUCCAAAUACGGCAAAACAUGAGAAGUUAUAUUUAUGCUUUCCUAAUACAACUAUUAAAUAAAAAAGAUUGUUUCAAUUUGAA